UAACCUAAAGAUGAUGUGAGAGCCGGAGGUCUACAUACAGGAGGUCUACAUACAGAAGAGGUCCUUUAGGCUAAACUGGGAUUGUUUUUUUUUUUUUUUUUUAAAGUAGAAGGCAAUUGAAAACACUUUCAGAACAUUGCCAAGAAGUGGAGAUUCUCGGUCAUCCAGACUCGGAAGUCUUCAAAAUGCUCACAGAACCAGUAGCAGACUUCAGAGGAUUUCACCGCUGCCCAAGACACCUGAGUGGGGUGGGAAGUUUCUAUUCUUUUUAUUACUCUGAAGCAUGGGAAAUUACCCAGAGCUAACUUCAACUUUCUAAUUGCCGAUAUGAUGUAUUCAAUAAAAGAUCUUUCAAGCCUGAA